GCUGACGAGUGGCGGACGGGUGAGUAAUGUCUGGGAAACUGCCUGAUGGAGGGGGAUAACUACUGGAAACGGUAGCUAAUACCGCAUAACGUCGCAAGACCAAAGAGGGGGACCUUCGGGCCUCUUGCCAUCGGAUGUGCCCAGAUGGGAUUAGCUAGUAGGUGGGGUAACGGCUCACCUAGGCGACGAUCCCUAGCUGGUCUGAGAGGAUGACCAGCCACACUGGAACUGAGACACGGUCCAGACUCCUACGGGAGGCAGCAGUGGGGAAUAUUGCACAAUGGGCGCAAGCCUGAUGCAGCCAUGCCGCGUGUAUGAAGAAGGCCUUCGGGUUGUAAAGUACUUUCAGCGGGGAGGAAGGGAGUAAAGUUAAUACCUUUGCUCAUUGACGUUACCCGCAGAAGAAGCACCGGCUAACUCCGUGCCAGCAGCCGCGGUAAUACGGAGGGUGCAAGCGUUAAUCGGAAUUACUGGGCGUAAAGCGCACGCAGGCGGUUUGUUAAGUCAGAUGUGAAAUCCCCGGGCUCAACCUGGGAACUGCAUCUGAUACUGGCAAGCUUGAGUCUCGUAGAGGGGGGUAGAAUUCCAGGUGUAGCGGUGAAAUGCGUAGAGAUCUGGAGGAAUACCGGUGGCGAAGGCGGCCCCCUGGACGAAGACUGACGCUCAGGUGCGAAAGCGU
rnacentral:rRNA from 1 species